AUAACAAUACCUACUGCCUUGUUGUCUGAUCCCAUCAGGUCUCAGAAACCCAGCAAGGCUGGGCCUGGUUAGUACUGGAAUGGAAAACCUCCAGGGAAAACCAGGCUGCAGCUGUA
rnacentral:rRNA from 1 species